GGAUAAACAGUCCAGGACAAAAUAACUGAGAAAUGAUGACAUUCUGAAAUAAAGCAGCAGUUCUUGUGUCCAGGAAUUUCUCUUUGAGGAAGAAAACAAGGGGCCUCCUACUUGGCCGUGUGACUGGCAGGGGAGAAAGAGCAUAUUUCAGCUCAGUAUGUAUAGCUGUGCUCCAGGCUGGGCUGGGCUGCAACAGUUUUUCCAUCUACAUUUUUGAGGAACUUCCAAUUUCUUCUGAAUAAACAUUUUCCAAAUAAUCCUGCCUGAAAACUGUCCCUCAUCAACUUAGGACACGCUUUUCUUUCUCAAGGUGAUGCUACCAGGGACCUGCCAAGACCCGUAGUACCCAACUAGCCUGGAAGAACUUGUCUGAAAACUUUGGUGGAGAUUUUCAGAAUCACAAGGCUCUAGAACAAGGUGGGGUGGAUCUCCCAGAGCUUGUACCUUGUACUUAAAAAUGAACGCUCCAACCGGCUUAUUUUCCAAACGAGGCAUCCAGGGCUUGAUGUGGUAAUGAACUUGUCUGAGAACACACUGUCAGCUAACAAUGGUCAUCUUCUCUUCUCACUGUGUCCUCACAUGGCCUUUUCUCCAUACAUGCACAUUCCUGGUGUCCCUGAGUGUCCAAAUCCCCUCGUCUUAUAAGGACUUCAGUCAGAUUGGAUUAGGGCCACAAGAAUGGCCUCAUUUUAAGGUUCAAGGCACUGUGCUACAAGAAAUAUACAGGAAGAAGCCUGGAGCAUUUAAGAGCAGGAUGUUGACAAACACACACAUUGAAGGUACCAUGAUUUGAGCUUCUGACAUUUGGACUAAUUAAAGCUGAGGAAAUUGGCAUCUAUUUGGCAAAACAGCCA